AGCACUUUUCAUAUGUGCUGACAGAUGUAAGUCCGACGUGCUUAACCGCACUGCCAAAAAAUGGCUUUGGGAUUAC
rnacentral:ncRNA from 1 species